UUUGUUGUGUGUGCAUUGUUGGCUGUUAUGACCAGGGAGCUGUAAUUUGCGUGUUGCGGUUUCAAUAGCGUACGUACGUCAGCAAGCUCAUACGUCAGAGUAUUUUAUUUGUAUAUUCUAUAAAAUAAGCUGAAUCUUUAUUGCAGAGUCGUUUCACCUCAGUACUGCAACGCGCAAACAUUGUGCUGUCUGGCUGUCGCAAAAAAAGCUUCUUUUUAAAGAGAUUUUCCAGAGCUAUAGUUUGAUAGACACAAACAUCCAUCGUCGCUGAAAGAAUCCAUUCUGCAAAUCGACAGAACGUGAUCAAGCUUUCGAAGCAAACCCACGCAAGUUACUUCACCGUUGAAAGUUUUUACAAGAGGAACUCUGACAAGAGGAACUCGACCAGACAGAGGAAUUACUGAACAUCUAAACUACGCCUAGCCAAACCCUAUACACUCUAUCCUUAAAUAAAUUGGUAAGCGCAUAUACUUAGCAACGAUGAAAUCUGAGAUGGAUCUGGAAUUUAAUAACGUUAAAGAAACGCAAUAUGCUUAUCAAUGGAGCAAACACGAGUUAGAAACAAUGCAUUCACAUCAAAAAUAUCAAAAAGAAAUGUUAACAUUUCUUGGUGAUUUAAAAGUACAUGGACCUCGCGUAGAUUUAGUAAUGCCUACAAAACCAAAAGGAGACAUACGCUCUCUAGUAAACACGAACUCACAAACAACGUCCAAGUCUAAGCUUACUGGAAAUGAUCUGCAUCUAUAUUUACUUAGUAAAUUAGUAGACUCUUCUGGAGAAACCCGCCUUCUUUUAUGUAAUUUAGCUGAAAUAAAAUGCCUACAGGUAGCAGGUGAAUAUCUUGCAUCUUGGUAUGAGAGAAUUGCGCAACACGAGGCCACCCCAAUCGGUUUUUAUAUCGAUUAUGGUUUGUGGCUCAAUGUUGCUCAUGCACUUCAUAGAAAUGAGAGACCAUUACAGUCCUGGGAAGAGUGGUUAAAAGCAAACGUGGGCAUCCACCGGUCUUAUGCUAACAAACUGCGCCUGAUUUCAAAUUUAUUACAAAACUAUCCCUUGUUCAGAAAAUUAGGAAUGCCAUUUAAAAAAGUUUACGAUAUUAGAAGAGAAAUUCAGGAUAUGUUGGUAGACUUGCACAUAGCCCAUAUUUGGAAACAAAGUUAUUAGACAUUGCUUAUAAGCAUUACUGUAUCGGAUGUCGUUAAAAUAUAUGUACUUUUCCUGUAAAUAACCCAGCGUUUACAAAAAAUGUUUGGUAUCUGUUUGACUAAUAUAUUUAUGAAAUGAAUUGGAUUUGUUACAGUAAAAAACGAACAAAGAAACCACCUGCAUAUCAAAAAGGCACAAUUUGUUACAGUGAUUGAUCUCGGAAAGGUGAACAAAAGGGAUAAAACGUUCCCACGGCACUUGGAAAACAACCCACCAGGACGCCAAAAGCACAAUUGUUACGGUGACUACCCCCUUAUAACAGACAAGGCCGCGCCGGCGUAUGAAUCAGCAAAGUUAUCAACUCUGCAUUACUCUCUGAAUAAAAAGACCACACCUAGAAAACGUAAAUCGCUGUUAUUUCACAUAGAUUCUCAUGUCAAUUGUUAUUACAAUGGUCAUGUUAUUGUACAGUGGUUUCUUUGUUGCCAGUAGAAGGCGCGACAGUCAUCUUUUUGUGAAUUUACAGAACUGUUGUAAUUAUGAGCAGUAUGCGCUCUGUUGGUGAACAGCUGUUUCUAUGUUUAUGGUUGUUAGGGAACAUGACAUGCAGUGUACCAGUAUUAUAUUUGUAACUUUCAACCACGAUGAUGGGAUUGCCGUGUGAAAACAGAAAAAUAAAAGGAAAAUACAAUGCCUGUUUCAAACCAAGUGACGGUCAUGCAGCAUUUUAAUCCGUUCCGAGAGUUAGGAACUUAGUUUAGCAAACACUGCUUUGAAAUUGUCUGUGCUGUUCGGUACGUACUUGUACACGCUUGGCCAACUGAGUUGUACUACACCGAUGACACGCAUCCGAGGUCUGAUAACGGCCUCUUUUUAGAAGAAAUAAAUUCAAGACAGGAUCUAAUAAUUUAAUUUACCGUUUAUAUUUAAUAUGCAACAUCGA